rnacentral:rRNA from 1 species
AACGAACGCUGGCGGCAUGCCUAACACAUGCAAGUCGAACGAAACCUUCGGGUCUAGUGGCGCACGGGUGCUUAACGCGUGGGAACCUGCCCUUAAGUUCGGAAUACCUCCCUGUAGGGUGUGCUAAUACCGGUUAAUGUCUUCGGACCAAAGAUUUCUCGCCUUUGGAUGGGCCCGCGUUGGAUUCGCUGGUUGGUAGUGUAAAAGCCUACCAAGGCGACGAUCCAUAGCUGGUCUGAGAGGAGGAUCAACGACACUGGGACUGAGACACGGCCCAGACUCCUACGGAAGGGAGGAGUGGGGAAUAUUGGACGAGGGGCGAAAGUCUGAUAAAGCAAUGCCGCGGGAGAGAGGAAGGCGGUAGGGUUGUAAAGCUCUUUUAGACGAGAUGAGAAUGACAGUACUGGGAGAAUAAGCACCGGCUAACUACGUG